AUCCUGGCUCAGGAUGAACGCUGGCGGCGUGCCUAACACAUGCAAGUCGAGCGAUUUACUUCGGUAAAGAGCGGCGGACGGGUGAGUAACGCGUGGGUAACCUGCCCUGUACACACGGAUAACAUACCGAAAGGUAUGCUAAUACGAGAUAAUAUGCUUUUAUCGCAUGGUAGAAGUAUCAAAGCUCCGGCGGUACAGGAUGGACCCGCGUCUGAUUAGCUAGUUGGUAAGGUAACGGCUUACCAAGGCGACGAUCAGUAGCCGACCUGAGAGGGUGAUCGGCCACAUUGGAACUGAGACACGGUCCAAACUCCUACGGGAGGCAGCAGUGGGGAAUAUUGCACAAUGGGCGAAAGCCUGAUGCAGCAACGCCGCGUGAGCGAUGAAGGCCUUCGGGUCGUAAAGCUCUGUCCUCAAGGAAGAUAAUGACGGUACUUGAGGAGGAAGCCCCGGCUAACUACGUGCCAGCAGCCGCGGUAAUACGUAGGGGGCUAGCGUUAUCCGGAAUUACUGGGCGUAAAGGGUGCGUAGGUGGUUUCUUAAGUCAGAGGUGAAAGGCUACGGCUCAACCGUAGUAAGCCUUUGAAACUGAGAAACUUGAGUGCAGGAGAGGAGAGUGGAAUUCCUAGUGUAGCGGUGAAAUGCGUAGAUAUUAGGAGGAACACCAGUUGCGAAGGCGGCUCUCUGGACUGUAACUGACACUGAGGCACGAAAGCGUGGGGAGCAAACAGGAUUAGAUACCCUGGUAGUCCACGCCGUAAACGAUGAGUACUAGCUGUCGGAGGUUACCCCCUUCGGUGGCGCAGCUAACGCAUUAAGUACUCCGCCUGGGAAGUACGCUCGCAAGAGUGAAACUCAAAGGAAUUGACG
rnacentral:rRNA from 1 species